GGAAGAGUUCCCGAGUGGCCAAAGGGGGCAGACUGUAAAUCGCCAAAGGGGGCAGACUGUAAAUCUGUUGCGAUUCGCUUCGAUGGUUCGAAUCCGUCCUCCUCCACCA
rnacentral:tRNA from 1 species